GAUGAACGCUGGCGGUAUGCUUAACACAUGCAAGUCGAACGGACUCUUCGGAGUUAGUGGCGGACGGGUGAGUAACGCGUGAGAAUCUGGCUUUGGGUUCGGGACAACCACUGGAAACGGUGGCUAAUACCGGAUGUGCCGAGAGGUAAAAGAGAAAUUGCCUGAAGAUGAGCUCGCGUCUGAUUAGCUAGUUGGUGAGGUAAAGGCUCACCAAGGCAGCGAUCAGUAGCUGGUCUGAGAGGAUGACCAGCCACACUGGGACUGAGACACGGCCCAGACUCCUACGGGAGGCAGCAGUGGGGAAUUUUCCGCAAUGGGCGAAAGCCUGACGGAGCAAUACCGCGUGAGGGAAGAAGGCUCUUGUGUUGUAAACCUCUUUUCUUAGGGAAGAACAAAAUGACGGUACCUAAGGAAUCAGCAUCGGCUAACUCCGUG
rnacentral:rRNA from 1 species